CCAGCUCCAAUAGCGUAUAUUUAAGUUGUUGCAGUUAAAAAGCUCGUAGUUGGAUUUUGGGUUGGAAAAUUCGGUCUGCCUACCGGUUGAUACUGUUUUUUCCAUCCUUCUUGCUGGCGACGUUUUCUGGUCUUCACUGGCUGGGAAAUGGAAUCAGCGAUGUUACUUUGAAAAAAUUAGAGUGUUCAAAGCAGGCCUAUGCUCUGAAUACAUUAGCAUGGAAUAACGCGAUAGGACUCUGGUUCUAUUGUGUUGGUCUUCGGGACCGGAGUAAUGAUUAAUAGGGACAGUUGGGGGCAUUCGUAUUUCAUUGUCAGAGGUGAAAUUCUUGGAUUUAUGAAAGACGAACUACUGCGAAAGCAUUUGCCAAGGAUGUUUUCA
rnacentral:rRNA from 1 species